AGCAGUAGGGAAUCUUCCACAAUGGACGAAAGUCUGAUGGAGCAAUGCCGCGUGAGUGAAGAAGGUUUUCGGAUCGUAAAACUCUGUUGUUGAAGAAGAACAUAUGUGAGAGUAACUGUUCACGUACUGACGGUAUUCAACCAGAAAGCCACGGCUAACUACGUGCCAGCAGCCGCGGUAAUACGUAGGUGGCAAGCGUUGUCCGGACUUAUUGGGCGUAAAGAGAAUGUAGGCGGUUCAUUAAGUUUGAAGUGAAAGCCCUCGGCUCAACCGAGGAAGUGCUUCGAAAACUGGUGAACUUGAGUGCAGAAGAGGAAAGUGGAACUCCAUGUGUAGCGGUGAAAUA
rnacentral:rRNA from 1 species